UACAGAGGUCUCAAGCGUUGUUCGGAUUCAUUGGGCGUAAAGGGCGCGUAGGCGGCCGGGUUGGUCGUGGGUGAAAUCCCCCAGCUUAACUGGGGAACUGCCUACGAUACUGCCUGGCUCGAGGGAGGAAGGGGCGGUCGGAACUGUCGGUGGAGCGGUGAAAUGCGUUGAUAUCGACAGGAACGCCGGUGGCGAAAGCGGACCGCUGGCCCUCUUCUGACGCUGAGGCGCGAAAGCCAGGGGAGCGAACGGG
rnacentral:rRNA from 1 species